GUGUCAUAGGAAAGGAGAGGAAGAUAGCCUUCUCUUUAAUAGGAAUGGAAGAGGGUCUCGUAGCCUAUACAGCACAUAUACAUACAGUCAAGGCAUUGCUACCUACUUCAUGGUUUCUGUGGUUUUACGUGU